rnacentral:tRNA from 1 species
AUUUAAGUAGCUUAAUUUAAAGCAUAGCAGUGAAGAUGCUAAGAUAAUAUAUAAUAUUCUUAAAUA